rnacentral:rRNA from 1 species
GAGAUCUUCGGAUCUAGUGGCGCACGGGUGAGUAACGCGUGGGAACCUACCUUUUAGUACGGGACAACGUUUGGAAACGAACGCUAAUACCGUAUACGCCCUCCGGGGGAAAGGCUUGCCGCUAAAAGAGGGGCCCGCGUCUGAUUAGCUUGUUGGUAAGGUAAUGGCUUACCAAGGCUUCGAUCAGUAGCUGGUCUGAGAGGAUGAUCAGCCACACUGGGACUGAGACACGGCCCAGACUCCUACGGGAGGCAGCAGUGGGGAAUAUUGGACAAUGGAGGCAACUCUGAUCCAGCAAUGCCGCGUGUGUGAUGAAGGCCUUAGGGUUGUAAAGCACUUUCAACGGUGAAGAUGAUGACGGUAGCCGUAGAAGAAGCCCCGGCUAACUUCGUGCCAGCAGCCGCGGUAAUACGAAGGGGGCGAGCGUUAUUCGGAAUUAUUGGGCGUAAAGGGCUCGCAGGCUGCUUGAACAGUUAGACGUGAAAUCCCCGGGCUCAACCUGGGAACUGCGUUUAAUACUAGCAAGCUA